UUUCAAUAGCUUAAGAAGAGUUUAAUAUUGAAGAUAUUAAGGUAGUUGAACUUUGAAACAUU
rnacentral:tRNA from 1 species